UACGUAGGUGGCAAGCGUUGUCCGGAUUUACUGGGCGUAAAGAGCGCGCAGGCGGUCGUUCAAGUCGCGUGUGAAAGCCCCCGGCUCAACUGGGGAGGGUCACGCGAUACUGAUCGACUCGAAGGCAGGAGAGGGUAGUGGAAUUCCCCGGUGUAGUGGUGAAAUGCGUAGAUAUCGGGAGGACCACCAGUGGCGAAGGCGACUACCUGGCCUGUUCUUGACGCUGAGGCGCGAAAGCUAGGGGAGCAAAC
rnacentral:rRNA from 1 species